rnacentral:rRNA from 1 species
AACGAACGCUGGCGGCAUGCCUAACACAUGCAAGUCGAACGAGACCUUCGGGUCUAGUGGCGCACGGGUGCGUAACGCGUGGGAACCUGCCCUUAGGUUCGGCAUAACUCCCCGAAAGGGGUGCUAAUACCGGAUAAUGUCUUCGGACCAAAGAUUUAUCGCCUUUGGAUGGGCCCGCGUUGGAUUCGCUAGUUGGUAGGGUAAAAGCCUACCAAGGCGACGAUCCAUAGCUGGUCUGAGAGGAUGAUCAGCCACACUGGGACUAAGACACGGCCCAGACUCCUACGGGAGGCAGCAGUGGGGAAUAUUGGACAAUGGGCGAAAGCCUGAUCCAGCAAUGCCGCGUGAGUGAUGAAGGCCUUAGGGUUGUAAAGCUCUUUUACCCGGGAUGAUAAUGACAGUACCGGGAGAAUAAGCUCCGGCUAACUCCGUG